GCCGGGGUGGCGGAAUCUGGCAACGCGCCAGACUCGAGAUCUGGUUGCCCUUCCGGGCAGUAUGGGUUCAAGCCGAAAGGUUGCCCAAAAAUCCCAUCCCCGGCG
rnacentral:tRNA from 1 species